rnacentral:misc_RNA from 1 species
AGAGUCACACUUAUCCAUUCUUGCGCUUUUCACCGAGAAAUGGCUCUCUCUGCUGCCGCGAAUCUCACCGCCGCCAAGACCUCGAUCUGCCAUUCCGCCGCCACCUCCGCCGCCGUCACCUCCUCCUCCCCUUUCAAACCUCAAAUCUUCCCUGUCCAUCUCACCACCACCACCACCACCAAAAAACCCAGACCUACCAUCGUUGCCUCAGUCUCCACCUCCUCUUCCUCAUCAUCAUCAUCUUCGUCCAACGUAAUUUCUCCCAACUGGUCCUUGGACAGCUGGAAAACAAAACAGGCCCACCAGCUUCCGGAAUACCCUGAUCAGGGAGAAUUGAAAUCGGUGCUCCACACCCUCAGCAGCUUCCCGCCAAUUGUUUUUGCAGGGGAGGCGAGGAAGCUCGAGGAAAGAAUAGCCAGUGCAGCCGUGGGAAAUGCGUUUUUGCUUCAAGGUGGAGAUUGUGCAGAGAGUUUCAAAGAGUUUAAUGCCAAUAACAUUCGUGAUACCUUCCGGGUUUUGCUACAGAUGGGCGUUGUUCUCACUUUUGGUGCUCAAAUGCCCAUCAUCAAGGUAGGAAGGAUGGCAGGCCAGUUUGCAAAACCAAGGUCGGAACCGUUUGAGAUAAAAGAUGGUGUGAAACUCCCAAGUUAUCGAGGAGACAAUAUUAAUGCUGAUGCUUUUGAUGAGAAAUCUAGAAUACCUGAUCCUCAAAGGUUGAUUAGAGCAUACCUGCAAUCUGUUGGCACCUUGAAUCUCCUUAGGGCUUUUGCUACGGGUGGAUAUGCUGCCAUGCAAAGAGUUUCACAGUGGAAUCUUGACUUUGUAGUGCAUAGUGAGCAAGGAGAUAGGUGUGGCCUGGAUUUAUACAUAUCUUAUAUAUUGUUUAGAUUUUUCAUCCGCUUUCAACUCAGCUGCCGUUCCAGCUUGGCCUUGCUUAUAUGAACAACUGUCAAAUUGUAGGUCUUGCAUAGUCUACAACUGAAGUGUGAUAACUGCUGCAUAAAUUGGUCUGAAUGAUAUUAAUCUAUCAAACAUAAAGGAUUUCCUAUGAUUUGAUAUGAUGGCCCAAAUGUCAUAGUAGUCAAUCAAAUCUACAAGGAUAAAAUUGUUUUUAGAUGUAUUGGUAUUUGGAUUUUGCAGCAUCUUUUUUUUUAUAUAAUUUUUUUUUGUUGAAUAUCUUUUGCACAAAGCCAGGUAUAUGGAACUUGCACGGAGAGUAGAUGAUGCUCUGGGGUUCAUGGCUGCUGCUGGUCUCACUGUUGAUCAUCCUCUAAUGAACACAACUGAGUUUUGGACAUCUCAUGAGUGCCUUCAUUUGCCAUAUGAGCAGGCCUUGACCAGAGAGGACUCAACAACUGGCCUCUUUUAUGACUGUUCUGCUCACAUGCUUUGGGUAGGUGAGAGGACUAGGCAGUUGGAUGGAGCUCAUGUUGAAUUCCUCCGAGGUGUUUCCAACCCUCUUGGCAUCAAGGUGAGUGACAAGAUGGAUCCAAAGGAGCUUGUGAAGUUGUGUGAAAUUCUUAACCCUCACAACAGACCUGGAAGGUUGACAAUAAUUGCCAGAAUGGGAGCAGACAACCUCCGGAUAAAACUGCCCCAUCUCAUUAGAGCUAUACGCCAGGCAGGGCUUAUAGUCACCUGGGUCAGUGACCCCAUGCAUGGCAAUACUAUUAAGGCUCCAUGUGGUCUUAAGACACGUCCAUUUGAUGCAAUCAGGUCUGAGCUUAGGGCAUUCUUUGAUGUGCAUGAUCAAGAAGGCGGCUACCCUGGUGGAGUCCAUCUCGAGAUGACAGGGCAGAAUGUAACAGAGUGUGUUGGAGGGUCAAAGACUGUGACUUUUGAUGAUUUAAAUUCUCGUUACCAUACACAUUGUGACCCUAGGUUGAAUGCAUCACAGUCCUUAGAGCUGGCGUUUGCUAUAGCAGAGAGGCUGAGGAGGAAAAGGUUAAGAUCUGGUGAUGGCAUCCUUUUCGGCCGCAAAGUUGGUGGGUCUGUGGCAUGAGAUGCUCUACUUUUGUUUUUGUUGUUGAGUUACUAGAGAAUUUAGUGUGGUGGUUUAAGCUUUUGUAAAUUAUUAUAGAAUACCUAGUGCUGUAACAUAUUUUUGAGUUUGAAUCUUUACCAACAAGUGAGUUUGGAACAAAAGCUUCCAUGAAAGGAUUAGAAUUUCACUUGUUAGUUUUCCA